UGGUUUGACCUCGGAUCAGGUAGGGUUACCCGCUGAACUUAAGCAUAUCAAUA
rnacentral:rRNA from 1 species